GACUGAGGGUGCGAACGUUGUUCGGAAUUACUGGGCGUAAAGCGCGUGUAGGCGGCAACGCAAGUCGGGCGUGAAAUCCCACGGCUCAACCGUGGAAGUGCACUCGAAACUGCGUAGCUAGAGUCCUGGAGAGGAAGGUGGAAUGCUUGGUGUAGAGGUGAAAUUCGUAGAUAUCAAGCGGAACACCGGUGGCGAAGGCGGCCUUCUGGACAGUGACUGACGCUGAGACGCGAAAGCGUGGGGAGCAAACAGG
rnacentral:rRNA from 1 species